rnacentral:rRNA from 1 species
CCUACGGGAGGCAGCAGUGAGGAAUAUUGGUCAAUGGACGAGAGUCUGAACCAGCCAAGUAGCGUGAAGGAUGACUGCCCUAUGGGUUGUAAACUUCUUUUAUAUGGGAAUAAAAUGUUCCACGUGUGGGAUUUUGUAUGUACCAUAUGAAUAAGGAUCGGCUAACUCCGUGCCAGCAGCCGCGGUAAUACGGAGGAUCCGAGCGUUAUCCGGAUUUAUUGGGUUUAAAGGGAGCGUAGGUGGAUGGUUAAGUCAGUUGUGAAAGUUUGCGGCUCAACCGUAAAAUUGCAGUUGAAACUGGCAGUCUUGAGUACAGUAGAGGUGGGCGGAAUUCGUGGUGUAGCGGUGAAAUGCUUAGAUAUAACGAAGAACUCCGAUUGCGAAGGCAGUUCACUGGACUGCAACUGACACUGAGGCUCGAAAGUGUGGGUAUCAAACAGGAUUAGAUACCCGAGUAGUC